UCCCAUUUUAAAUUUUCUAAAUUAUCUUAUAAAUAGGCUAUAAAACUAAAUUUAGAAUUUAGGAAUUCCAACAUUUUGUAUAUAAAAUACGCACGCUUGAGAGGAAAUCACUCAUAAGUGUUGUAAGGCGGCAAUUUGAAAAUCAACGAAAUUAAGGGGUUGAAGUGAAGCACACAGAAAAAAAAGAGUUCAAUCAUUUACAGUGUUUACAAUAAAGACUGAAAAAAAUGGAUCUUCUUCGUUGGAUGAAAUUCAUAACUGUGACAGUCUUGUUGCUGUUGUCUCUUUUAACAGAAGGAAGUGCUCGUCGGUUUAAUGCUUGCAGAUACAACGCUGUAACGCACUCGUGCGAUGACGUAAUUUUGAGAAGCGUAGGACCAUACAAAUUUGAGAAAAGUCUAUGUAGGGACAUUUACGGAGGAAAGUGUCGUCGUUUGGUUCCCUUGAAAAGGCGAUGUUUCUGUAUGGGAAAAAUAGUUUUCUAGAACAAAUUCAACGUUAUAUACAAUGAGUUCUAACUAGUUACUGGCGGCAUUCAAAUUUAUAAAUGGCAUUUUAUUAUUGAAUUGUAAUAUGGCUGAUUUAACAUGCAUAUAAUUAUAUGACAUUCGUAGUAUGUGUUUGAGCAUUUCGUUGCGACUGUUUCAUUGAAGCGUCAUGAAGUAUUAUUUCAUUACUUUCAUU